GACGAACGCUGGCGGCAUGCCUAAUACAUGCAAGUCGAGCGAACAGAUGAAGUGCUUGCACUUCUGACGUUAGCGGCGAACGGGUGAGUAACACGUAAGGAAUCUACCUAUAAGCGGGGGAUAACAUUCGGAAACGGGUGCUAAUACCGCAUAAUAUCUUCUUCCGUUUGGAUGAAGAUUGAAAGACGGCUCUGCUGUCACUUAUAGAUGACCUUGUGGUGCAUUAGUUAGUUGGUGGGGUAAUGGCCUACAAAGACGAUGAUGCAUAGGCGACCUGAGAGGGUGAUCGGCCACAUUGGGACUGAGACACGGCCCAAACUCCUACGGGAGGCAGCAGUAGGGAAUCUUCCGCAAUGGGCGAAAGCCUGACGGAGCAAUGCCGCGUGAGUGAAGAAGGCCUUCGGGUCGUAAAACUCUGUUAUAAGAGAAGAACAAAUUGUAGAGUAACUGCUACAGUCUUGACGGUAUCUUAUCACAAAGCCACGGCUAACUACGUGCCAGCCGCCGCGGUAA
rnacentral:rRNA from 1 species